AUAAAAGUUUUAAGCCUUGGACUCUUAAAUCAGGAAGAGACGUUGAAUAGUAAUGGUGAACUUUACCUAAAAAGGCAUCCUCAGUUGAAAGUGAAGGUGGUUGAUGGAAGUAGCCUAGCUGUGGCCGUGGUUCUCAACUCCAUUCCUAAAGGAACUUCUCAAGUUGUCCUUCGAGGUCGUUUGUCCAAAGUUGCUUACUCCAUUGCCCUUGCCUUGUGCCAAAGAGGAAUUCAGGUUGCCACGUUAGACGAAGAAGACUACAAGAGACUUAAUGCAAAGCUUACUCAUGAAGCUGCAACUAACUUGGUCCUGUCGAAAUCUUUUGUUUCAAAGACAUGGCUAGUAGGGGACGGAUUGAGUGAAGAUGAACAAUUGAAAGCGCCAAAAGGAACAUUAUUCAUUCCUUAUUCACAAUUCCCACCAAGAAAAUCUCGCAAGGAUUGCUUCUACUUCAACACACCAGCUAUGAUUGCUCCUAAACAUCUUGAAAAUGUGGACUCUUGUG
rnacentral:misc_RNA from 1 species